UCUCCGUUGGUGAACCAGCGGAGGGAUCAUUACCAGAGUUUACAACUCCCAAACCCAAAUGUGAACAUACCUACUGUUGCUUCGGCGUGCUCGCCCCGGCGUCCGGCUGGCCCUGUGCCGGCCGCGACCCGGAGCCAGGCGACCGCCGGAGAAAAAAACCAAAACCCUUUGUAUUAUCAGCAUCUUCUGAAUCCGCCGCAAGGCAAAACAAAUGAAUCAAAACUUUCAACAACGGAUCUCUUGGUUCUGGCAUCGAUGAAGAACGCAGCGAAAUGCGAUAAGUAAUGUGAAUUGCAGAAUUCAGUGAAUCAUCGAAUCUUUGAACGCACAUUGCGCCCGGGAGCAUUCUCCCGGGCAUGCCUGUUCGAGCGUCAUUUCAACCCUCGACCUCCCCUUGGAGAGGCCGGCCGUUGGAGAUCGGCAGCGAUUGCCGGCUCCCAAAUUCAGUGGCGACCCGCCGCGGGGACCCCUGCGCAGUAACAUACACUCGCACCGGAAACCAGACGUGUCACGCCGUAAAACCCCAACUUUCUGAACGUUGACCUCGGAUCAGGUAGGAAUACCCGCUGAACUUAAGCAUAUCAAUAAGCGGAGGAAAAGAAACCAACAGGGAUUGCCCCAGUAACGGCGAGUGAAGCGGCAACAGCUCAAAUUUGAAAUCUGGCCCCCAGGGUCCGAGUUGUAAUUUGCAGAGGAUGCUUUUGGCGAGGCGCCUUCCGAGUUCCCUGGAACGGGACGCCAUAGAGGGUGAGAGCCCCGUCUGGUCGGAUGCCAAGCCUAUGUAAAGCUCCUUCGACGAGUCGAGUAGUUUGGGAAUGCUGCUCAAAAUGGGAGGUAUAUGUCUUCUAAAGCUAAAUAUUGGCCAGAGACCGAUAGCGCACAAGUAGAGUGAUCGAAAGAUGAAAAGCACUUUGAAAAGAGAGUUAAAAAGUACGUGAAAUUGUUGAAAGGGAAGCGCCUAUGACCAGACUUGGGCCCGGUGAAUCAUCCAGCGUUCUCGCUGGUGCACUUUGCCGGGCACAGGCCAGCAUCAGUUUGGCGCGGGGGAAAAAGGCUUUGGGAAUGUGGCUCCCUCGGGAGUGUUAUAGCCCAUUGUGUAAUACCCUGCGCCGGACUGAGGUAC
rnacentral:sRNA from 1 species